rnacentral:misc_RNA from 1 species
GAAAUGCGAUAAGUAGUGUGAAUUGCAGAAUUCAGUGAAUCAUCGAAUCUUUGAACGCACAUUGCGCCCUUUGGUAUUCCUUAGGGCAUGCCUGUUCGAGCGUCAUUUAAACCCUUCAAGCUCAGCUUGGUGUUGGGCGUUUUUUGUCUUUGGUUGCCAAAGACUCGCCUUAAAAGGAUUGGCAGCCGGCCUACUGGUUUCGCAGCGCAGCACAUUUUUGCGCUUGCAAUCAGCAAAAGAGGACGGCAAUCCAUCAAGACCUCCUUCUCACGUUUGACCUCGGAUCAGGUAGGGAUACCCGCUGAACUUAAGC